rnacentral:rRNA from 1 species
UACAGAGGUUACAAGCGUUAUCCGGAUUUAUUGGGCGUACAGCGUUUCGUAGGUGAUUUGUUAAGUUGCUCUUUAAAGACCAAGGCUCAACCUCGGGAAGGGGAGUAAGACUGACAGAAUUGAAUAGUGGUGGGGCUUCUGGAACUGGUGGUGUAGUAGUGAAAUACGUUGAUAUCAUCAGGAACUCCAAGGGCGAAGGCAGGAAGCUAACCAUUUAUUGACACUGAGGAACGACAGCUAGGGUAGCGAAAGGG